CAGCAGCCGCGGUAACACGUAGGGUGCAAGCGUUAAUCGGAAUUACUGGGCGUAAAGCGUGCGCAGGCGGUUAUAUAAGACAGAUGUGAAAUCCCCGGGCUCAACCUGGGAACUGCAUUUGUGACUGUAUAGCUAGAGUACGGCAGAGGGGGAUGGAAUUCCGCGUGUAGCAGUGAAAUGCGUAGAUAUGCGGAGGAACACCGAUGGCGAAGGCAAUCCCCUGGGCCUGUACUGACGCUCAUGCACGAAAGCGUGGGGAGCAAACAGGAUUAGAUACCCCUGUAGUCCCUGUCUCUUAUAC
rnacentral:rRNA from 1 species